CCUACGGGUGGCAGCAGUGAGGAAUAUUGGUCAAUGGGCGCGAGCCUGAACCAGCCAAGUCGCGUGAGGGAUGAAGGUUCUAUGGAUCGUAAACCUUUUUUAUAAGGGAAUAAAGUGUGGGAUGUGUCCUAUUUUGUAUGUACCUUAUGAAUAAGGAUCGGCUAACUCCGUGCCAGCAGCCGCGGUAAUACGGAGGGUCCGAGCGUUAUACGGAUUUAUUGGGUUUAAAGGGUGCGUAGGCGGCCUUUUAAGUCAGCGGUGAAAGUCUGUGGCUCAACCAUAGAAUUGCCGUUGAAACUGGGGAGCGUGAGUAUGUUUGAGGCAGGCGGAAUGCGUGGUGUAGCGGUGAAAUGCUUAGAUAUCACGCAGAACCCCGGUUGCGAAGGCAGCCUGCCAAGCCAUGACUGACGCUGAUGCACGAAAGCGUGGGGAUCAAACAGGAUUAGAUACCCUUGUAGUC
rnacentral:rRNA from 1 species